UACAGAGGUCUCAAGCGUUGUUCGGAUUCACUGGGCGUAAAGGGUGCGUAGGCGGCGCGGUAAGUCGGGUGUGAAAUCUCGGAGCUUAACUCCGAAACUGCAUUCGAUACUGCCGUGCUUGAGGACUGGAGAGGAGACUGGAAUUUACGGUGUAGCGGUGAAAUGCGUAGAGAUGUGGAGGAACACCGAUGGCGAAGGCAGCCUCCUGGGCCAACACUGACGCUCAUGCACGAAAGCGUGGGGAGCAAACAGG
rnacentral:rRNA from 1 species